rnacentral:rRNA from 1 species
UACGUAGGGGGCGAGCGUUGUCCGGAGUUACUGGGCGUAAAGCGCACGCAGGCGGUCUGUGAAGUUUGGAGUGACAGUUGGUGGCUCAACCACCAAAGUGCUUUGAAAACUGAUAGACUUGAGGGCUUCAGAGGGACACGGAAUUCCGUGUGGAGUGGUGAAAUGCGUAGAGAUCCGGAGGAACACCAAAGGCGAAGGCAGUGUCCUGGGGAGUACCUGACGCUCAGGUGCGAAAGCCAGGGGAGCGAACGGG